rnacentral:piRNA from 1 species
UCACUUUGGUGGUCAUGGGUUCUUUCCUUU